rnacentral:lncRNA from 1 species
GCAAAAGUAAUUGAAUAUAAUUGCCUCAAUUAUUCAAUUAGUCUUUGUUUAUUCAAGUCAUAACUUUUGAAAAGAGAAGAGGACUGCUUCAUGUAGAUUAGCUGAAAAAUAGUUGUACUAAUUUCAAGCAAUCACUGAUCAUUCUUGUUUGCAAAUUACUCUCAACAUUCAACAGAUUUCAGAAUGGAGAUUGGCUUAGCAGUUGGUGCUGCAUUUCUCUUUUCAGCUUUUAAUGUUCUCUUUGAUAGGCUUGCUCCUCAUGUUGAUCUGCUCAACAUGUUCCGGAAGCAUAAGGAUCAUAUGGAAAACAUAUCAACUAUGCCGGAAGAUCUACAAAAACAGGUAUACCAUUUUAUAUUCAUGAGUAGCUAAAUUAAUUUAUUCCUGAAAAUCUUUUGUUAAUUAUAAUUGUUUAUCAUGCUUGAAUAAUGUUAUAAUAAUCAUCUUUAGAAAAUUUGCUACAGAAAUAUUCUUCGAAUAAGUAUGCCAAGACUAUGCCAUCCUAAGGUUGAAAUUGGUAGGCAGAGAAGGCCGUUUAGGUUGAAACUGGUAGGCAGAGAAGGCCGUUUAGGGGAGUAAACAAAGUUGAGGCGCUGUUAGGGUAACUAAUCAAAGAAGAAAGCUGUAGUAGUGACCAGACGAGAUGAUUAUUAAAUCAUUAUUUUUGCAUAAUAAGCAAGUAUAAUUUAUUAAGAGGUUGGAAGGAAUAAAAUUUUAGUGAAAAUAAAAAUGAUAAAAAUCGAAACUUACCUAUUAAACGAUGAUGUUGAUUAUAAGAUAUUACUACUCUAUAUACUAAAAAAUCUGAAUAUUGAUAUAAAAAGAGAAAUUUAUGGCAAAUUAUUAACAUAUGAGAUAAUAGAAAUAACAACCCAAGGUUGGACUAAGUUAACCAUACAAAGCAUACAGGAUGAACUUUAUUAUGAUAUGUAUGAUUUAUAUGAUGAUUUAGAUAUUGGAGAUUAAAUAUGACUGAAUAUUGGCUAAGGCGAUAUGGUAGAAAUUACAGGUUAAAAAAGAUUAAAUAUCCAGAUAAAUUAAGUAAGCUUUUUAAAAUAUUAUAUAAAAAUUAUGAUGGAUAAAACUAAAAUAACUAAAAUAAAAAGAACCAAGAU